AUGGGAUGGAGCUGCGUCAUCCUCUUCCUCCUCUCAGUAACUACAGGUGUCCACUCUCAGGUACAGCUGCAGCAGUCUGAGGCAGAGCUGAGGAGACCUGGGUCCUCAGUGAAGUUGUCCUGCAAGGCUUCUGGCUACACCUUCACAGAGUAUGAGAUGAGCUGGAUGAAGCAGAAGCCAGGACAGGGCAUGGAGUGGAUUGGAUAUAUUUAUCCUGGAAAUGAUGGUACUAGCUACAAUCAGAAGUUCAAGGGCAAGGCCACACUGACUGCAGACAAAUCCUCCAGCACAGCUUACAUGGAGCUCAGCAGCCUGACUUCUGAGGACACUGCCGUCUAUUACUGUGCGGGAGACACAGUGUUGCAACCACAUCCUGAGAUUGUCAGAAACCCUGGAGGAGCAGGAAGCUACCCUGGGGCUGAGAUGAAAGGGAAGUGUAGCCUGGAGACUUGCUCAGAAAUAAUAAUUUUGAGCAUUCAUUUUUCAGCUCUUCUCAUAGUCUCAUAG